rfam:Alkaliphilus metalliredigens QYMF, complete genome.
AAUGUUACGAAUUUCCGAGUGAGAUUAUCUAAGGCGAUGCUACGAUGACUUACCUCUGGGUAAAUGAAGAAAUUCUCUUGCCUCCCGAACUUGAAAAGGAAAUUUGCUUUACAUAAG